AUUUUGUUGGGUAGUUUGAUCACGACUUCUGAGGGAUGGCAACUACUUCCUUCUAAUUGUCAUGGGGUGUUCCACGUAAGCACUUUAUUUUGCUGGAACUGUAAUGGAUCAGUUGGGAGAUGUUCUGCAUUGGAUUCGGCAGGUAGUGGUGCUUGUGUGUGGAUUGUUGUGGGGUGCAAUGCCUUUGGUUGGAGGCAUAUGGAUUGUUCUGUGAGUUGAUUGCUUUUCGCGUUCAUGCACCUUUUUAACCUUCCCCUGUUUCUGUGCUAGGAAAGCUUGAAACUCUUGUAGAGGACUAGGCAUCCCCAAGGAUAAAAGAAUGAAGGAAAUCGUCCUUGAAUUUGGAUGAUGGCUUGGUCGUGGAGUGAGAGUUUAGAGCUGCCAAAGCCGUUGACAUCUGCGUGAACGAGAUUAUUCCCUACCACCAGUGCUUGUCCCUUCUCUCUUUCGUCCAAAGGAACCCCAACUCUGUGACGUCCUCCAGACUUGUCCUGGAUGAGAAUUGUUCCCAUUGUGUUUGGGACGCAAGUCUAGUAAGGACUUAAGUUCUUCACAGGUUUAAAAUUACCAAGUAUGGAUGGAAAGUUGAAGUUCACUCUUAAAAAAUACUUAAGUGAAAGAAUCUAAUCGAGCCUAACAAAUCGCAAGAGAGGCACGCAGCAUGGGGGAAGUUUCCAUUUGUAUUUGGAAAUUUGUCAAGUUCCUGUGAUGUACCAUUUGAGAAGGUAAUCUUGUUCGUUUUGAUUUUUUUUCCCUCACUGCGCAUUGCUAGAAACUUCCACCCCAUGCAUAAGCGGGUGUGAUUAUGAUUUUAUGGAUUUGCUAUAGUGGGAUGUUCGUGAGUGGGUCACUACAUGGAUACUAUACUUCUUGAAAGAGAGAUGCUAUGUUGAUUUAUCCAAAGCCAAGAGUGUUCUGUCUCUUUCUGGGUACCCUAAUAGUUGCAUGCAGAUAUCCUUGAAUUGGCUUUUUGUGUUGCUUUUGAAUUGGAGGAGGGAAUUGAGGCUAUCGUUUCAUUUGAGUUUUGAGUAUGGUGAACUAUAUUUGAAGUAACUACAAUACAAGCACUUUCUCUUCAUUACAGUUUGAUCCCUUGUGGUUUAACUAUUUUCCACACUGUUCAUUUGAUGAACCGGAUGAGAUGCUAGAGACAGAGUGAAGUCUCUUCCAGGUUUCAUUUGAAGUAUCAAAGCAACAAUGAGAAAGUGUUUGGGUUUCGCCUUAUAUGCAAGCAAAUAGAGGAUGGUCUAAGG